UCUGGGUCACCUCCCACCCGUGUCUAUCGUACCUUGUUGCUUCGGCGGGCCCGCCGUUUCGACGGCCGCCGGGGAGGCCUUGCGCCCCCGGGCCCGCGCCCGCCGAAGACCCCAACAUGAACGCUGUUCUGAAAGUAUGCAGUCUGAGUUGAUUAUCGUAAUCAGUUAAAACUUUCAACAACGGAUCUCUUGGUUCCGGCAUCGAUGAAGAACGCAGCGAAAUGCGAUAAGUAAUGUGAAUUGCAGAAUUCAGUGAAUCAUCGAGUCUUUGAACGCACAUUGCGCCCCCUGGUAUUCCGGGGGGCAUGCCUGUCCGAGCGUCAUUGCUGCCCUCAAGCACGGCUUGUGUGUUGGGCCCCCGUCCCCCUCUCCCGGGGGACGGGCCCGAAAGGCAGCGGCGGCACCGCGUCCGGUCCUCGAGCGUAUGGGGCUUUGUCACCUGCUCUGUAGGCCCGGCCGGCGCCAGCCGACACCCAACUUUAUUUUUCUAAGGUUGACCUCGGAUCAGGUAGGGAUACCCGCUGAACUUAAGCAUAUCAAAAGCCGGAGGAAAUU
rnacentral:rRNA from 1 species